GUGCACUUGAGGUUCUCGGGGAUGGGGGAGCCAGUUCCGAGCCAAAAUAUCCCACCCCCAGAGGGCAGCGGACGGCAGAGGUUCCCGCGCAGGCAGGACGGCGGCCUCGGCUGGGAGGGGCCGGAGUCCGCAACUCCCUCCCCCAUUCUCGCACCUGCUGGCAGCGGGGGGCUCCAAUGAAUGGACAACUUCCAAGAAUUCUUGCCCCUUCCCCCACCUUUUACAUAGCCAAACCCUGGGACAAAAGGCGCCGGGGGUCUGGGGCUCCUUCCUCGGCUCCUGCCAGCUCCGGCCCUGCCCCUGCGGACUGGGACCAGCUUCAGACGAAAUGAGUGUUGGUUGAUUCUAACUGGCAUUUUUUGCCUCUCUGAUAGCCUCCAGAAGGGCUGCAACUUCCUACUUUAUGGACCAACAUGUGAUAGACAUCUUUCGCUAGGCAAUUAAACUCUGUGCCUUAGGCUACCUCCUGCCUUAGAUGGAAAAACAAAAUACAGCCAGGGAGGUCAUGGUUCUAGUCAGCCCAGCCAGCCCUCAACCUCAAGGGGCCCAGCAGAUCCGUCCCUUGAAGGGCUUGGAAGACACCCAACAAAUGACAAUACAAAAUGCUUCCUUUGUUCAUUUACCAAAACACAAAGAUAAAUAUAUAAGUAUGUAAGUACUUAUCUACGUAUUAUGGUCUUUGACUAAACAAUUCUACUUCUUGAAUCUUACAGAAAUGUUUGCACUAUAUGUGCAAAUGUGUCUCAUGAAUGUUGUUCGUAAUAGUGAAAAGUGGAAACAACCUAAAUGUCCAAUUGCAAAGGAUUGCUUAAAUACAUUAUUGUAUUCCCUAUAAUAAAAUAUUCUGCAGCUGUUAAAAGGUGUGAGGUAUAUGCUGAUGAGGAAAGAGAUCCAUGACAUUUUGUCCGGU